UUCUGGACAAGCGAUAGCAGUGGAAAUCCUUUUUCGGUGGCGGCAGCAAAGCUGCCGCCACCGAAAAAGAUUGUAACGAAUAGCGCGGUUCCGA
rnacentral:sRNA from 1 species